rnacentral:rRNA from 1 species
UCGAACGAACUUCCGUUAAUUGAUUAUGACGUACUUGUACUGAUUGAGAUUUUAACACGAAGUGAGUGGCGAACGGGUGAGUAACACGUGGGUAACCUGCCCAGAAGUAGGGGAUAACACCUGGAAACAGAUGCUAAUACCGUAUAACAGAGAAAACCGCAUGGUUUUCUUUUAAAAGAUGGCUCUGCUAUCACUUCUGGAUGGACCCGCGGCGUAUUAGCUAGUUGGUGAGGUAAAGGCUCACCAAGGCAGUGAUACGUAGCCGACCUGAGAGGGUAAUCGGCCACAUUGGGACUGAGACACGGCCCAGACUCCUACGGGAGGCAGCAGUAGGGAAUCUUCCACAAUGGACGCAAGUCUGAUGGAGCAACGCCGCGUGAGUGAAGAAGGGUUUCGGCUCGUAAAGCUCUGUUGUUAAAGAAGAACGUGGGUAAGAGUAACUGUUUACCCAGUGACGGUAUUUAACCAGAAAGCCACGGCUAACUACGUGCCAGCAGCCGCGGUAAUACGUAGGUGGCAAGCGUUAUCCGGAUUUAUUGGGCGUAAAGCGAGCGCAGGCGGUCUUUUAAGUCUAAUGUGAAAGCCUUCGGCUCAACCGAAGAAGUGCAUUGGAAACUGGGAGACUUGAGUGCAGAAGAGGACAGUGGAACUCCAUGUGUAGCGGUGAAAUGCGUAGAUAUAUGGAAGAACACCAGUGGCGAAGGCGGCUGUCUGGUCUGCAACUGACGCUGAGGCUCGAAAGCAUGGGUAGCGAACAGGAUUAGAUACCCUGGUAGUCCAUGCCGUAAACGAUGAUUACUAAGUGUUGGAGGGUUUCCGCCCUUCAGUGCUGCAGCUAACGCAUUAAGUAAUCCGCCUGGGGAGUACGACCGCAAGGUUGAAACUCAAAAGAAUUGACGGGGGCCCGCACAAGCGGUGGAGCAUGUGGUUUAAUUCGAAGCUACGCGAAGAACCUUACCAGGUCUUGACAUCUUCUGACAGUCUAAGAGAUUAGAGGUUCCCUUCGGGGACAGAAUGACAGGUGGUGCAUGGUUGUCGUCAGCUCGUGUCGUGAGAUGUUGGGUUAAGUCCCGCAACGAGCGCAACCCUUAUUACUAGUUGCCAGCAUUAAGUUGGGCACUCUAGUGAGACUGCCGGUGACAAACCGGAGGAAGGUGGGGACGACGUCAAAUCAUCAUGCCCCUUAUGACCUGGGCUACACACGUGCUACAAUGGAUGGUACAACGAGUCGCGAGACCGCGAGGUUAAGCUAAUCUCUUAAAACCAUUCUCAGUUCGGACUGUAGGCUGCAACUCGCCUACACGAAGUCGGAAUCGCUAGUAAUCGCGGAUCAGCAUGCCGCGGUGAAUACGUUCCCGGGCCUUGUACACACCGCCCGUCACACCAUGAGAGUUUGUAACACCCAAAGCCGGU